ACUGGGCUGUGGGUCCUCCAGUGAAGCAACAUCUACCUCCCAAGCCCAAAAGAAAGGCUUUGAAGGACUGUAUUAGUAGUGAACAAUGGAAGGUGAAUCACGUGUGAUUUGUGGUUCCUCAGAUAUGGGAGAGACCUUUAAACUCCAUGCCAAACUCGAAGACAAGGUACAUUCGAUUUAGGCCCUGCAGCCGGACCACAUAUAGGAGCACCCAUGUUUUACAGCGUUGAUCUCAGGUUCCACAAAACCACGUAGAGCCUGGAGCUCUGGGAUUUUGUCAGUCAGUCUCUCAGUCUCCCAUUUAUGGACUCCCUGAUUCUGGGGUCCACAGCUUUUCGCCCCCACAGCAUGGAACCCCACCAUUGACUGUGAUCAGGUAGCCCAGAACUGACGGCUAGUUCCCUGCACACUUUCCUGACCCACACUGUGUCCAGUGAUGUUACGCCUCAGAACACCACUUGUAGGUUUGGGUUUGUUUAGAUUUUGGAUUUUCAUUGAGUUUGUUUGAUGUCUGCAGUUUUCACCAUACUUGGAUAUAUGUAAAUCCUACAGCAUUACAUUCUCCAGGAAUAAAUCUCUGACAUUUCCCAAGGCUGCAGACUUCGUUUUGCCUCUGUUUAAAGUGGCCAAGGCCAAAAUAUGGGAUGAAGUUAUUAUCUCCUACUAAUCUUUGUAAUUAUUCUUGUAAACCACUAAAAAAUCAAAAUUGCUUUGAGAAUAUAAGUUGAAAACUGUCCUGUCCAUUUCUGAACUGCUAAGGGCCCUUUCAGUUUUCAUGUAGCCGAAACACUCUUAACAGCCAGCAAAUGUUAUCAGAUGAAUAUUUGCUUGUGUUUUCUCUCUCUACUUCCCCUUACCCACUUCAAAAAUUCCAGAGAUUUUUUCCCCCCAGAAUAUUAGUUUUGGAAGAUUGUAUCCAACUAUAUUUUUUUAGCAGUUCUAAUGGUGCCCAUUUAUCCUGACCUAACUGGUUAUUUAAAUAAUUUUUUAAACCACCACCAAUAAUAAAUGGCAUGUGAAACUGAUCUGUUGGUAAUUGGAAGAAAAGUCAGCAUCUGUAUUUAUAAAAUAAAAUUGAUUAGUA
rnacentral:lncRNA from 1 species